AUGAACGCUGGCGGCGUGCCUAAUACAUGCAAGUCGAGCGAACAGACGAGGAGCUUGCUUCUCUGACGUUAGCGGCGGACGGGUGAGUAACACGUGGAUAACCUACCUAUAAGACUGGGAUAACUUCGGGAAACCGGAGCUAAUACCGGAUAAUAUAUUGAACCGCAUGGUUCAAUAGUGAAAGACGGUUUUGCUGUCACUUAUAGAUGGAUCCGCGCCGCAUUAGCUAGUUGGUAAGGUAACGGCUUACCAAGGCAACGAUGCGUAGCCGACCUGAGAGGGGUAACGGCCACACCGGAACUUGGAACCGGUCCAGACUCCUACGGGAGGCAGCAGUAGGGAAUCUUCCGCAAUGGGCGAAAGCCUGACGGAGCAACGCCGUGUGAGUGAUGAAGGUCUUCGGAUCGUAAAACUCUGUUAUUAGGGUAGAACAAAUGUGUAAGUAACUAUGCACGUCUUGACGGUACCUAAUCAGAAAGCCACGGCUAACUACGUG
rnacentral:rRNA from 1 species